rnacentral:rRNA from 1 species
UACGUAGGUGGCGAGCGUUAUCCGGAAUCAUUGGGCGUAAAGAGGGAGCAGGCGGCCGCAAGGGUCUGUGGUGAAAGACCGAAGCUAAACUUCGGUAAGCCAUGGAAACCGGGCGGCUAGAGUGCGGAAGAGGAUCGUGGAAUUCCAUGUGUAGCGGUGAAAUGCGUAGAUAUAUGGAGGAACACCAGUGGCGAAGGCGACGGUCUGGGUCGCAACUGACGCUCAUUCCCGAAAGCGUGGGGAGCAAAUAGG